CUUGCUUUAUAGGGCAAGUCCAGGAAGCAGUGUGUGACAAAGAAUGAGUACCCAGUGCUGGAGGGCAUGGAGCAAUCCAUCGGCAGCUCCCGGUGGUGAUGAGUGAGUGUCCUGCGGCAGAGGGUGGGGUGGCAUAGCAAGAACAGUUGAAGGCAGGAAGUGGGAAAGCAUUCUGGUUACUGUCAUGCCAAGGGUCAGCGGCCAACAGUCCGGGAGAGUCUCCUUGCAUCUGUCUUCCUCUAACAAGCCAUGGCUGAAGCCCAGGGUGCCUGCUGGGCCUGAGAUGAGGGGCUCUGGGCAAGCUGUGCAUUCCAAUGGCCACCACAUCCUCCAGUUCAGAUCCUGACCCUGGUGGUAAGUCCUUCAAUGGACAGUGGAGCCCAACAAUCAGGGCAUUCCUUCCAAAUUCUGCCAGAGAACCAACACUCAAAGAUGGGUGUGUGUGGCCCAUAAAUCAACUGGACGCACUUCCCUUUGUUUGCACACUGCCACCGACACAGGCUUGCUAUGAAGAAGAAGAAAUUUUGCUCAGAGGAAACUAGAAAACCUGAACGUGUACACAAUGCUGACAUAUUUUGUUGCUUUCACCCCUCUUAAGAAUUUCUACCAUUCCUUUGAGAAGUUGAUUAUUUUUAAAACUGUGUAUCAUUUUGUCUUCUUGGGCAAAUUGCACAGUCAAUGAUAUGUUUCACCGAGUAUGUAAAUCCCUUUUACAUAUUUCAAAAUAAUAUCUAAUUAAAAUGUCAAGGUUAUAGCUCAUGAGGCUAGAGUGGACAGGGCUCCACCCCCUCCCUCAGCCUCUCAAAGUAACAUUUAAAGUAUGUCCUAUAAUUAGGAGCAAUUAUAAAUUCCAAUUAAAAAGAAACCUGCAUAACUCUGACAGUAUUUUUCUUUGAUGUUACUGGCUUUAAUUUAUGUGCUUGUUCCACCAAAUUGUCUUCACUUCCUCAGAUAUGUUCUCAGACAGAAAAGGCUUCCAAAACUGCAAAGAGAAAAACAGGUCAAAUCUGAGAAAAGUAGUGAAGUUCAUUAAAAAGGGUUAUUGCAUCUAUAACUUCUGGACUUGGUGCUCAUUGAUUAGAGAUUAAACAUCAUCCUUUGUACUACUCAGAUUGGGAUUUUUAAUUAGGAUGUCAUUAUUACACAGAUAUACUGAAUGCCAUAUUGAUUUUUGAGACCUUUUGAAAUAAUAGCACUGCUUAUGCAAAAUGAAAAUCAUAAUAGAUUAUUGACUUCUUCAGGAGUUUUGAUCCAAGGGUACCUCCC
rnacentral:lncRNA from 1 species